AGUGAGGAAUAUUGGUCAAUGGACGCAAGUCUGAACCAGCCAUGCCGCGUGAAUGAAGAAGGCCUUAGGGUCGUAAAGUUCUGUCCUUAGGGAAGAACCGUGGGUAUAGCAAAUGAUACCCACCUGACGGUACCUUUGGAGGAAGCACUGGCUAACUACGUGCCAGCAGCCGCGGUAAUACGUAGAGUGCAAGCGUUGUCCGGAAUUAUUGGGCGUAAAGGGUACGCAGGCGGAUAGUAAAGUCAAGCGUGAAAGGUGUCGGCUUAACCGACAGACUGCGUUUGAAACUGAUUAUCUUGAGUGUAACAGAGGAGAGUGGAAUUCCUAGUGUAGUGGUGAAAUACGUAGAUAUUAGGAAGAACACCAGUGGCGAAGGCGACUCUCUGGGUUAACACUGACGCUGAGGUACGAAAGCUGGGGGAGCGAACGGGAUUAGGUACCCCGGUAGUCCCAGCCGUAAACGAUGGAUACUAGGUGUUGGAGGUUCGAAUCCUUCAGUGCCGGAGUUAACGCAUUAAGUAUCCCGCCUAGGGAUUACGAUCGCAAGAUUG
rnacentral:rRNA from 1 species